rnacentral:rRNA from 1 species
CAGUCGCCGCGGGAAUACGUAGGGUGCGAGCGUUAAUCGGAAUUACUGGGCGUAAAGCGUGCGCAGGCGGUUAUAUAAGACAGAUGUGAAAUCCCCGGGCUCAACCUGGGACCUGCAUUUGUGACUGUAUAGCUAGAGUACGGUAGAGGGGGAUGGAAUUCCGCGUGUAGCAGUGAAAUGCGUAGAUAUGCGGAGGAACACCGAUGGCGAAGGCGGCCCCCUGGACAAAGACUGACGCUCAGGUGCGAAAGCGUGGGGAGCAAACAGGAUUAGAUACCCGCGUAGUCCCUGUCUCUUAUAC